CUCAGCUACUGCUCUAGUCCCAGGAGUUGCCCAAGUCCCGAAUAAAUUCUGUCUUGCUCAAACUUUUAAAAUUUAAUUCACCUAAGGAAUUUUCCUUUUAACAGUUUUCAUGUAGUUGGCAAGAACCAAAGUUGAACUCCAAUAGCCCAGGAGCAACCAGGCCUAGAUACUAGAAGUCUAUCCUGUUCCUGUCUUGCUGCAUCUGGGAAUUAUAGGUGCCAGCCAUACAGAGAGUUGAAGAUGUGAAGUUAGAGAUUGCUUCUGUAUAAUGGCUUCCCAUCACCUUUAGAAUAGUCUUCAACUCCCCACCUUUUCCAUGAUGAUCUGUAUCCUGCCUCGUACUGGCUAUGUUUCUGCCGAAGUAUGUGUAAACAAGUGAUCCAUUCAAACAUCUGUUGGGUACACAUCAGACACAAG
rnacentral:lncRNA from 1 species